rnacentral:misc_RNA from 1 species
CCAAACUUGGUCAUUUAGAGGAAGUAAAAGUCGUAACAAGGUCUCCGUAGGUGAACCUGCGGAGGGAUCAUUACUGAGUGCUCUUGCCCACUGGGCAGACCUCCCACCCACUGUCAUCGCUACGUCUGUUGCUUUGGCGGGCCGUCGGGCCCUCCCGCCACCGGCCCCGUCGGCGUGCGCCCGCCAGAGGAUCCUAGACUCUUGAAUGUCGGCGUCGUCUGAGUGCUAUGUAAUAGUUAAAACUUUCAACAACGGAUCUCUUGGUUCCGGCAUCGAUGAAGAACGCAGC